rnacentral:lncRNA from 1 species
GACGUGUUGGUGAGAAGAAAAUAUUGGAUUUUCCUUUUGUUUUGAUGUAUUUUCCACCAUCAAGGGAAUAUGUGUAGACCACCUAAUGGAAUUAUACAUACUGGGGUUUUAUAUUUCGUUGUAUCGUUAAUAUUCGUCAAAAUACAACCACAUUUCGGUCUCGUAUUACAUGUAUCAAUUUUCACGUAUGAUGUAAACAUGAUCGAGUCGCUCGAAAUGUGCUCGAAGAGGUUGCUGUGAUUCGAAACAUCAUGGGUUCUUGUACAGAUGACCUGUUUCAACACGCGCUUGUAAAAUCACUUCAAAGACUGGACAAAGCCGGACUGGAAAUUAAAGAGAAGCAAUACGAAGCUUUGUCGUCUAUCGUAUGUUGUAUAUAAAAGGAACAAGAACGACAUGUGACAUGUCUAAACGGCGGUGUGUGUCUGUUUACUGGGCUACAACAACGGCAAUAACAAUGAAUCACCUAACAUUUCGAGAAAAUAUAAAUUAUAGAUAGAUGUCAUGCAUGACUCCAUCAGUUUUGGGUUUGAAUUGCUAGAUUUAAAUUUAUAUUAUGUAUACAAAAUCAUGCGUGUGUAUAAAAUUCGAGCAAAAAAGCGCAAGGUCAAGGUGUUUGUUUGGCCAUAUGCCCAUCAUGUAGUAUGAAUAUUGAACACCGUUUUAUAUAGUACGUUUAAAACGUUAUUUCCAUGCCGGAUAAUCCUGAAUCCUUCACCGAUUACAUGUGUGGCAAAUGACGAAAAAUAAUUAUGUAAAAUAAUUAAACUAAUAUGUCUUUGGCCAUGAAUGCAACUCACUAUGCUGCUUACAUCUGACAAUCAAAACUAUAUGCAUGACUGUAUGGCCCAAUACAAGGGGAAGGGAAAUUUGAGGGAAAUUUUUGUUUUCAGAUUACAGUAUAACAACAAUAUUUCCUGCAUUCCAAUAUAUUUUCUACAUGCAAGUGUGCCUUCUGUUUCAGAUAGGGGCCAAAUCAUUUGAGGGUGAAUGGG